CGCUCUCCCUCGCUCCAGCGUUCCUCUCUCAUGCUCAUUUCCCCAUAGACACGGACACCGUGAUUCUCGCAGACGAUGCAGGAACCGAUAUAACAUGCCUGCUGGAUUCUGAGAAGCAUCAGGCUGAGCUGGUGGAUUUUAUUCUGGAAUGUAUACCGAGGCAGAGGAACACCGGGCAGCAUGUCUGUCUAACGAAGAAAAGUUCGUCACCUUGAGCCCGGACGAAUUCUCUCUUCUUCAAGACUGUGCACAAUACACAACGAAGAAACUAAGAGAUGUUCUCCAGGAGUUCAUGGAGAUGGGAUUCUGGCCAAGUAUAAUCCAGAAGAGCUCUUGCAACUCUUGUGAAGCACAUUAUAUCGCAGUGUCCAUGCUAAGAAUGCUGUACUCGACCAAAUGUUAUGAUGAUGAUCUAAUUUCAACAGAUUUUAGAACCAUUAAGCUAUAUGAUGUUUUUAUUGGGUAAUGAAACAAUUGUCUUUCCAUAAUUUCUUACCAUCCAUUUACUGAAGAUGCCUCUUACUUGUCAUUUUAUUCUGCGUAGAAGCCAGAAAUCUUCAAGGUAAUUUGUCUUUUUAUAGUUUUACAGCCUGAUAAUGCAGUUAUUAUGUUAGUAUGAAGUAUUAACCGAGUAUUCACCGUCAGCAGGAAAUUGACUUUGAGGGUUUCAAGCUCUUUCUGGAGAAUGAACUUGCUGUGGAGUUCUCUCAGCAUCUCUUCCUCGGUUUCUGCAACAAAGACCCCAAGCCAAGCCUCUCCGUGAUGGACAAGCAGAGGAUCAUGGAUGGGAACAGGUUUUUAGACAGUAAGGUGAGUCCUCUUUCCAGCAGUCCCUCCAGUUUAUUACUGUUUUAAGUCAAUCCCUCUUAAUACAGCACUUUAUACAAUAGAGAAUUUGUUUCAAAGCAGCUUCACAGUAAUAAACAGGAAAAUAACAAUCAAUGAUGCAAAUUUCUUUAAAUAAAAGCUUAAUUCUAUAGAAGACAAUACUGUCAGUGUUCAGCUCGAGUCAGUUCAGUGUUGAUUCAAUUCAGCUCGUUUUGAUGUUGCAAAAAUUGUCAAUUAUGAAGCAGUCGAUUUGAGCUUCUCAAUUCAGUUCAAGUUUUAUUCUCAUCCAACAGUAUCA